rnacentral:rRNA from 1 species
GACGUAGGGCGCGAGCGUUUGUCCGGAUUUAUUGGGCGUAAAGAGCUCGUAGGCGGCUUGUCGCGUCGAAUGUGAAAACUCGGGGCUCAACCCCGCGCUUGCAUUCGAUACGGGCAGGCUCGAGUUCGGUAGGGGAGACUGGAAUUCCUGGUGUAGCGGUGAAAAUGCGCAGAUAUCAGGAGGAACACCGGUGGCGAAGGCGGGUCUCUGGGCCGAUACUGACGCUGAGGAGCGAAAGCAUGGGGAGCGAACAGG